AGACCCGAAACCCGGUGAUCUAGCCAUGGGCAGGUUGAAGGUUGGGUAACACUAACUGGAGGACCGAACCGACUAAUGUUGAAAAAUUAGCGGAUGACCUGUGGCUGGGGGUGAAAGGCCAAUCAAACCGGGAGAUAGCUGGUUCUCCCCGAAAGCUAUUUAGGUAGCGCCUCGUGAAUUCAUCUCCGGGGGUAGAGCACUGUUUCGGCUAGGGGGCCAUCCCGGCUUACCAACCCGAUGCAAACUGCGAAUACCGGAGAAUGUUAUCACGGGAGACACACGGCGGGUGCUAACGUCCGUCGUGAAGAGGGAAACAACCCAGACCGCCAGCUAAGGUCCCAAAGUCAUGGUUAAGUGGGAAACGAUGUGGGAAGGCCCAGACAGCCAGGAUGUUGGCUUAGAAGCAGCCAUCAUUUAAAGAAAGCGUAAUAGCUCACUGGUCGAGUCGGCCUGCGCGGAAGAUGUAACGGGGCUAAACCAUGCACCGAAGCUGCGGCAGCGACACUCAGGUGUUGUUGGGUAGGGGAGCGUUCUGUAAGCCUGCGAAGGUGGCCUGUGAGGGUUGCUGGAGGUAUCAGAAGUGCGAAUGCUGACAUAAGUAACGAUAAAGCGGGUGAAAAGCCCGCUCGCCGGAAGACCAAGGGUUCCUGUCCAACGUUAAUCGGGGCAGGGUGAGUCGACCCCUAAGGCGAGGCCGAAAGGCGUAGUCGAUGGGAAACGGGUUAAUAUUCCCGUACUUGGUGUUACUGCGAAGGGGGGACGGAGAAGGCUAUGUUGGCCGGGCGACGGUUGUCCCGGUUUAAGCGUGUAGGUGUGUGUUCCAGGUAAAUCCGGUUCACUUUAACACUGAGGCGUGACGACGAGGCACUACGGUGCUGAAGCAACAAAUGCCCUGCUUCCAGGAAAAGCCUCUAAGCAUCAGGUAACAUCAAAUCGUACCCCAAACCGACACAGGUGGUCAGGUAGAGAAUACCAAGGCGCUUGAGAGAACUCGGGUGAAGGAACUAGGCAAAAUGGUGCCGUAACUUCGGGAGAAGGCACGCUGACACGUAGGUGAAGUGAUUUACUCAUGGAGCUGAAGUCAGUCGAAGAUACCAGCUGGCUGCAACUGUUUAUUAAAAACACAGCACUGUGCAAACACGAAAGUGGACGUAUACGGUGUGACGCCUGCCCGGUGCCGGAAGGUUAAUUGAUGGGGUCAGCGCAAGCGAAGCUCCUGAUCGAAGCCCCGGUAAACGGCGGCCGUAACUAUAACGGUCCUAAGGUAGCGAAAUUCCUUGUCGGGUAAGUUCCGACCUGCACGAAUGGCGUAAUGAUGGCCAGGCUGUCUCCACCCGAGACUCAGUGAAAUUGAACUCGCUGUGAAGAUGCAGUGUACCCGCGGCAAGACGGAAAGACCCCGUGAACCUUUACUAUAGCUUGACACUGAACAUUGAGCCUUGAUGUGUAGGAUAGGUGGGAGGCUUUGAAGUGUGGACGCCAGUCUGCAUGGAGCCGGCCUUGAAAUACCACCCUUUAAUGUUUGAUGUUCUAACGUGGACCCGUGAUCCGGGUUGCGGACAGUGUCUGGUGGGUAGUUUGACUGGGGCGGUCUCCUCCUAAAGAGUAACGGAGGAGCACGAAGGUUGGCUAAUCCUGGUCGGACAUCAGGAGGUUAGUGCAAUGGCAUAAGCCAGCUUGACUGCGAGCGUGACGGCGCGAGCAGGUGCGAAAGCAGGUCAUAGUGAUCCGGUGGUUCUGAAUGGAAGGGCCAUCGCUCAACGGAUAAAAGGUACUCCGGGGAUAACAGGCUGAUACCGCCCAAGAGUUCAUAUCGACGGCGGUGUUUGGCACCUCGAUGUCGGCUCAUCACAUCCUGGGGCUGAAGUAGGUCCCAAGGGUAUGGCUGUUCGCCAUUUAAAGUGGUACGCGAGCUGGGUUUAGAACGUCGUGAGACAGUUCGGUCCCUAUCUGCCGUGGGCGCUGGAGAACUGAGGGGGGCUGCUCCUAGUACGAGAGGACCGGAGUGGACGCAUCACUGGUGUUCGGGUUGUCAUGCCAAUGGCACUGCCCGGUAGCUAAAUGCGGAAGAGAUAAGUGCUGAAAGCAUCUAAGCACGAAACUUGCCCCGAGAUGAGUUCUCCCUGAGACUUAGAGUCUCCUGAAGGAACGUUGAAGACGACGACGUUGAUAGGCC
rnacentral:rRNA from 1 species